UGGAAUGUCUAUUGUACAAUGUACAACCAAAAACAACUUUCAACAACGGAUCUCUUGGCUCUCGCAUCGAUGAAGAACGCAGCGAAAUGCGAUAAGUAAUGUGAAUUGCAGAAUUCAGUGAAUCAUCGAAUCUUUGAACGCACCUUGCACCCUUUGGUAUUCCGAAGGGUACACCCGUUUGAGUGUCAUUGUAAUCUCACUACAACCGCUUUUUUGUGGUUGCAUGUGGACUUGGAUGUUGCUGUGUAACAAACGGCUCAUCUGAAAUGCCUGAGUGUACCCUGCUUGCAGCGUAUUUGGUGUGAUAAAUCUUCACCGGAG
rnacentral:misc_RNA from 1 species